rnacentral:rRNA from 1 species
AUACGUAGGUGGCGAGCGUUGUCCGGAUUUACUGGGUGUAAAGGGCGAGUAGGCGGGCUUGCAAGUCAGAUGUGAAAUACCGAGGCUCAACUUCGGGGCUGCAUUUGAAACUGCGAGUCUUGAGUGAUGGAGAGGCAGGCGGAAUUCCCAGUGUAGCGGUAAAAUGCAUAGAUAUUGGGAAGAACACCAGUGGCGAAGGCGGCCUGCUGGACAUUAACUGACGCUGAGGAGCGAAAGUGUGGGGAGCAAACAGGAUUAGAUACCCUGGUAGUCCACACCGUAAACGAUGGAUACUAGGUGUGCGGGGACUGACCCCCUGCGUGCCGCAGUUAACACAAUAAGUAUCCCACCUGGGGAGUACGAUCGCAAGAUUGAAACUCAAAUGAAUUGACGGGG